AUCUUCGACAGUCAGUAAACCUGGUAAAGAAAGAGCUGAGAUUCGAGGAGGAAAGGAGUGGAGCAGACAUUAUGUCGUAGAAUUUUCUACCUUAUAAGUCAGAGCCCACCUCCCACUAUAGAAGCUCAUGGGCUAGGCUCCUCCAGUCAGAUGCAACUAUUCCCAAACUUCCUAACACAAGAUAAUGACAUGAAGAGAGGAGGACCACAGACCUGAACUACUGAUGCUGGCAGUCAUGGAAGCAGCUACACUCAGUCACCUGAGUGAGUGGCAUCUAGGCUGAUUUGCAACAACUUGUGGAUAGCUGCUCUUUUCAUCUGAAGUUUAAAAAUAUUUUCAUUACAACGUUUGAGAGGAAUGUCUUCAAGUGGGACCAAGUUCAAGUUUCUUUAAGAAAAAAAAAGAGUUUUGGUGGAUGUCUUCUCAUGUACCAGACUGGGACUGAAUGUGGGAAACUUCAGGAAGGAAGAAGUUAAAGACAUUCAGAUGCUCCACAAGGCAAUCAGAUGGAUCAAGCUUCAAAGACCUUUGGGUAUACGGAGCCAUACAGGUCAAUGGCAGAGCUGCUUCCAUUGUAACCGGCACCAACAAGAGAAUCUUCUCUUGCUUUGUACCCAUUCAAAGUUGAUUAUGUGUUCUUGGGGAUAUACUGGCAUAGAACACCCAACUGUGAAUGUGUAUUGCCUCCAAAUGCCUACAAAGGGUGUGUCUCUUUCUUAAUGACAAUGCAUUCAAGGUGAAAUGAUAUGUUUUUAUCUUUGAGGGAACAUACUGAUAUUCCCCAAAUGACUUCACUCCUAGAAACUGUACUAAUAUAUCAAUCCAUUUAACUUUCAUGGGGUUUAUCUUCCAUUUUCUGAUACUUCUGUGUUGUAUCAGGGCACCUACAUACUGCUGUUGGCUUCUUACUACAUCAAAUCAGCAUGAUGUAAUUCCUACUGUAAUAGUUCAGCCUGACAGCAGACAAGCUGGAAUGGGAUCAAGCUAUUACAUUUCUCCUUCCCUGGUCUAAUACCUUAAUAAUGUAUCCCCACUAAUAUUUUCCAAGUAUUUGCUGAUACAAAUUAACAAAACCUUUUGAGUACUUUGGUAUGAAGCCUUCUCCUCUUAGAUAUGACUAAUUGACCCCCGGGACAUAUAGGGACCUAGCCACAGGCCCAUAGAACUCAUAUUCUGCUUCCUUCUACACACACUCCCUUGCUUUGUAAUGCCCUCACAUGUGGACAGUUCAACACACCUUCCUCUAAUUAGUUCUCUUAGAGAGCAGCCUCCCCAGACUUUCAGCCCUCCUCAGGCUCCUUUUAAGGAAUUCUGAAGAGGGAGCCUGCCUUACCUCAGCAUAUCAGUGAGCUCGGGGAAAACCAAGAAUGGAGGAGACAAAGAGCUGAAGAAGUGGACACAAAAAAACUGUGGAUUUUAAUACUUUUCUGAGGCCCAGAUAAACCAGCUGAAAAGACUCUGAGCUUUCUCAUAAAAUGAAACAUGUUUAUUGCCAGAUAAAAACAAAGCGACUGCUUCUGCUUUUAUUUUCUGUGGGAAUAAAAGAUUCAUAAUCUUC